GCGCGUGUGGCGGAAUUGGCAGACGCACUAGACUUAGGAUCUAGCGGGAAACCGUGGGGGUUCAAGUCCCUCCACGCGCA
rnacentral:tRNA from 1 species